rnacentral:misc_RNA from 1 species
GUAAAUAAGCCAUUGACUUUUUAGAGAUACAUUGAGUACCAACUCUCAAUCAUAUCAUACGAAUGUGCUUUCACACAAUCCAAUAUCCUCAAUUGAGGAUAAACAUGCUUUCUGGGCAUGGGUCAAGAAAAAUAAAGAACGAGGCCAAAGACCUGCAUGCUCAAUGAAUGAUCCUUCCGCAGGUUCACCUACGGAAA